rnacentral:lncRNA from 1 species
AGACAAUAUUUUACAAUAAAAAAGUAUGUGAAUGUUGUUGCCAAUAAUAUAAACGGUCACUCAAUGAUUAAUGUCCGAUGGGUGGUUCGAUAAGUACUUAGCCUCUCUCCCCGAUGGCGCACCUACCGGAAGAGAAAUAUACCAUCGUAAAAUACAUUCUUGUAGACGGCCUAUGUCAAAAUAUUAGCCAAAAAGGAACUCGUAGUUUUGUUUUGGUCGUCUGUCUAAGCGGGCGUGUUUAAGGAUUUUAGAAAACUGAAAAAAGGGCAAAACUCCCAGGUGCCCCGAAAAGUCUACCACUGAGGAUAACGGGAAAGAAAUCCACGUAUUAGCAGACCGUCGACUGAAGCUUUGUAAGAUAGUUGAGACAGUAGGCAUCAGUUGGUCAUAUCCUACAUGAAAUUUUGUACAUUAGAAAGCUGUCGGCGCAAUGGCUGCCGCAUUUUAUAACUCCGAACAAUAAACGCAACCACGCGACCACUUCAGAGCAGUGGCUGAUGCUAUUUAAGCUUAAUCUAAAUGUGUUUCUACGUUGUUUCUUAACCGUCGACGAAACAUAGUUCCACUGGUACACACCAAAGGUCAAGGAACAGUCGAUACAGUGUCCAUGACCCCGCGAACGUGCUACGAGGAGGGCGAAAACUGUCCAAUAGGCCGGAAAAGUGAUGGCCACCAUUUUCUGGGAUCCACAAGGUGUGAUCUCUAUCGACUUGCUGGAAAAGGGUAAAACGACCACAGAGCUUUACUAUGCCGCAUUAUUGGGUCGAUUUGACGCCGUAUUUCAGAAAAAUCAGCCCCAAUUCGGGAACAAAAAAACUCUUCCACCAUGACAACGCUCCGGCUUACACCUCCGCCAUGGCCAUGGCCAUAUUAAAUUGUUCGAAUUUUGCUACAAACUGCUGUUCUAUCCAACAUAUUCUCCUAUUUGGCCCCGUAUGACUAAGUCACUCACCGGGCAGAAACUUAAGUCUAAUAAGAAGCCAUAAUCUCGGCACGAAAGACUACUUUGCAGACCUCUAGAAAAGGUAUCUUUCAGACGGGUUAUAAAAGGUGGAGCAACGCUGGGUCACAUGUGUCGAGCUAAAAGGAGACACAAGAAUCUACAGGUCGAGCAAGUCUCGUAAAUUUCACGAUUGCGAGCCACGCUUCACGCAACCGUGUUUGCGUACUUGUGUUUCGAGUUGCGUGGUCGUGCGGAGUUAUAUUUACCAAAUUUAAAUCCGUUCCCAAUGCUGCCAAAAUUAAAUCAAUAUGUCAAUAUGGCUACUGGCGUGGCUACUGGCGUGGCUACUGGCUGUAAAAGAUAAAUCUUAUUCUAUCUGUUCUUAAUGAGUUUUAGAUAAUUUUAGUUGUAUUUCUUUGUAAUUUUGUGUUGUACAAAGAUUAAUUUAACAUUUUCUCUGGAAGUAUUAAUUUAGAAAGAUAAUAUGCUUCAUUGGUGUUGUGUUUUGAAGUGUGAAAUGCAAAGUAAUUGUGAUAAAGUCAAGAUAAAGUUCACUUUUAAACUGAACUAAAUAAGGUAUCUGAGAGACAACAAUGGUUAAAUGCAAUACAAUGUACAGGUUUUACUAGCGAAAUGAAAAUUUUCCUGUCCUGUCUGCUGUAAUCAUUUUAUAUCUGGAAAACCAGCCGACUUAAUCGAUAAUAACAAUCUCCAGAUUGGGUUCCUUCAAUAAAUAUGGGCUAUAAACACAAUGAAAUAAGUUCCCCAAAAUCUAAAAUGGAGUGAUAUCAAAGGAGAAUUAAAGGAAAAAAUAUUCAUAUUGAAAUUAUUUAUAAGGCACUGGACUGUCUUAAAUUCUACAAUAAUACUAGAAUCAGCUGAGAGAAGUGGUCUACAAAAAACCAGGAAGGAAACGGAAUAUGUGGCUACGAAAGGCAAAAGAAAGGUUUACAAAGCAAAUGUGACACAUUUUUGUGAAAUAUUUAGGAAUAUCAGUAAAUUGCAUUAAAAAAAUGUAUGAAAAGAUUUUGCUCAAUAAAAAUGUUUAUAUUUA